ACUUUAUUAUAUUGGUUUACCUUUUGGUGAACUAUAUGAUGGGUUUCUUCCUACUAGAGUUCGAUUCUGUUCUUAACUGAAUGGAGUAGCUAUCUCUCGGGGGUAGUCAAUUGGUUGUUAUAUCUCCACUAAUGAGCGGAGAGGAGUAAAAUCUUCAAAGUAAGUUAUGUGGGUCAAGGUAUGAUGAUUAAUUGGAGUUCUAGUUCAUUUACUUUGAGAAAAUUAGAGUGUUUAAAGCAGCCUCUUGGGGCACUGAAUACAUUAGCAUGGGAUAAUAAAAUAGGAUCUUCACAAUAUAUUUUAUUGGUUUAAAUUGCGUAUGAAGAUAAUGAUUAAUAGGGACAGUUGGGGGUAUUCAUAUUGGGUGGUUAGCGGUGAAAAUGCUCGGAUCCAUUCAAGAUGAACUAAAGCGAAAGCAUUUACCAAGGAUGUUUUCAUUAAUCAAGAACGAAAGUUAAGGGAUCGAAGACGAUUAGAUACCGUCGUAGUCUUAACUAUAAACUAUGCCGACCAGGG
rnacentral:rRNA from 1 species